GUUUCGCAUGAGACGGUUCCUCAAAAAACAUAAUAUCGUGUAUGAGCUAAACAAAAACUUAGGUUUUAUAUGGUUUUAUGUUUUCCAGUAGAUCUGGUUAGAGCUAUGUCACGCUAAAUGGUGUUCUUUGCAUUUCUUCUUACAAUACUUUUCAAUAGAACACUGUUUCGCAUGAGACGGUUCCUCAAAAAACAUAAUAUCGUGUAUGAGCUAAACAAAAACUUAGGUUUUAUAUGGUUUUAUGUUUUCCAGUGGGUCUGGUUAGAGCUAUGUCACGCUAAAUGGUGUUCUUUGCAUUUCUUCUUACAAUACUUUUCAAUAGAACACUGUUUCGCAUGAGACGGUUCCUCAAAAAACAUAAUAUCGUGUAUGAGCUAAACAAAAACUUAGGUUUUAUAUGGUUUUAUGUUUUCCAGUGGAUCUGGUUAGAGCUAUGUCACGCUAAAUGGUGUUCUUUGCAUUUCUUCUUACAAUACUUUUCAAUAGAACACUGUUUCGCAUGAGACGGUUCCUCAAAAAACAUAAUAUCGUGUAUGAGCUAAACUAAAACUUAGGUUUUACAUGGUUUUAUGUUUUCCAGUGGAUCUGGUUAGAGC